AGCUUUGCUCAGUGGCAGUAUCGUAGAUAAUGAGGUUUAUUCGAUGCACGAUUGUCGCUUAUUGAAAUCUAUACCCAGUAGCCAGUUAUGCUGAUUUUGAAUCCACUCAGUGAAAACAAUUUUUGAUGGUCUCUGUUGAGA